GGCGAACGCUGGCGGCGUGCUUAACACAUGCAAGUCGAACGGAAAGGCCCUGCUUUUGUGGGGUGCUCGAGUGGCGAACGGGUGAGUAACACGUGAGUAACCUGCCCUUGACUUUGGGAUAACUUCAGGAAACUGGGGCUAAUACCGGAUAGGAGCUCCUGCUGCAUGGUGGGGGUUGGAAAGUUUCGGCGGUUGGGGAUGGACUCGCGGCUUAUCAGCUUGUUGGUGGGGUAGUGGCUUACCAAGGCUUUGACGGGUAGCCGGCCUGAGAGGGUGACCGGCCACAUGGGGACUGAGAUACGGCCCAGACUCCUACGGGAGGCAGCAGUGGGGAAUAUUGCACAAUGGGCGGAAGCCUGAUGCAGCAACGCCGCGUGCGGGAUGACGGCCUUCGGGUUGUAAACCGCUUUCGCCUGUGACGAAGCGUGAGUGACGGUAAUGGGUAAAGAAGCACCGGCUAACUACGUG
rnacentral:rRNA from 1 species